AGCGAACGCUGGCGGCAGGCUUAACACAUGCAAGUCGAACGCCCCGCAAGGGGAGUGGCAGACGGGUGAGUAACACGUGGGAACGUACCCUUUGGUUCAGAAUAACUUGGGGAAACUCAAGCUAAUACCGGAUAAGCCCUUAUGGGGAAAGGUUUACUGCCGAAGGAUCGGCCCGCGUCUGAUUAGCUAGUUGGUGAGAUAAUGGCUCACCAAGGCGACGAUCAGUAGCUGGUCUGAGAGGAUGAUCAGCCACACUGGGACUGAGACACGGCCCAGACUCCUACGGGAGGCAGCAGUGGGGAAUAUUGGACAAUGGGGGCAACCCUGAUCCAGCCAUGCCGCGUGAGUGAUGAAGGCCUUAGGGUUGUAAAGCUCUUUUACCCGGGACGAUAAUGACUGUACCGGGAGAAUAAGCCCCGGCUAACUUCGUGCCAGCAGCCGCCGUAAUAC
rnacentral:rRNA from 1 species